rnacentral:misc_RNA from 1 species
GAUGAAGAACGUAGCGAAAUGCGAUAAGUAAUGUGAAUUGCAGAAUUCAGUGAAUCAUCGAAUCUUUGAACGCACAUUGCGCCCGCCAGUAUUCUGGCGGGCAUGCCUGUCCGAGCGUCAUUUCAACCCUCAAGCCCCCGGGCUUGGUGUUGGAGAUCGGCGAGCCCCCCGGGGCGCGCCGUCUCCCAAAUAUAGUGGCGGUCCCGCUGUAGCUUCCUCUGCGUAGUAGCACACCUCGCACUGGGAAACAGCGUGGCCACGCCGUAAAACCCCCCACUUCUGAAAGGUUGACCUCGGAUCAGGUAGGAAUACCCGCUGAACUUAAGCAUAUCAAUAAGUGGAGGA